rnacentral:rRNA from 1 species
CCUACGGGAGUCAGCAGUGAGGAAUAUUGGUCAAUGGGAGAGCUCCUGAACCAGCCAAGCCGCGUGAGGGAAGACGGCCCUAUGGGUUGUAAACCUCUUUUGUCGGAGAACAAAACCCGGGACGAGUCCCGGACUGCGUGUAUCCGAAGAAUAAGCAUCGGCUAACUCCGUGCCAGCAGCCGCGGUAAUACGGAGGAUGCGAGCGUUAUCCGGAUUUAUUGGGUUUAAAGGGUGCGUAGGCGGUCUGUUAAGUCAGCGGUAAAAGUGCGGGGCUCAACCCCGUCGAGCCGUGGACACUGGCAGACGUGAGUUGGCGGGAAGUACGCGGAAUGCGCGGUGUAGCGGUGAAAGGCAUAGAUAUCGCGCAGAACUCCGAGUGCGAAGGCAGCGUACCGGCGCCAGACUGACGCUGAGGCACGAAAGCGUGGGGAUCGAACAGGAUUAGAUACCCUAGUAGUC